GAUGAACGCUGGCGGCGUGCCUAAUACAUGCAAGUCGAGCGUACAGACGAGGAGCUUGCUCCUCUGACGUUAGCGGCGGACGGGUGAGUAACACGUGGAUAACCUACCUAUAAGACUGGGAUAACUUCGGGAAACCGGAGCUAAUACCGGAUAAUAUAUUGAACCGCAUGGUUCAAUAGUGAAAGACGGUUUUGCUGUCACUUAUAGAUGGAUCCGCGCCGCAUUAGCUAGUUGGUAAGGUAACAGCUUACCAAGGCAACGAUGCGUAGCCGACCUGAGAGGGUGAUCGGCCACACUGGAACUGAGACACGGUCCAGACUCCUACGGGAGGCAGCAGUAGGGAAUCUUCCGCAAUGGGCGAAAGCCUGACGGAGCAACGCCGCGUGAGUGAUGAAGGUCUUCGGAUCGUAAAACUCUGUUAUUAGGGAAGAACAAAUGUGUAAGUAACUAUGCACGUCUUGACGGUACCUAAUCAGAAAGCCACGGCUAACUACGUG
rnacentral:rRNA from 1 species